GCGGGUCUCUGGGCAACUACUGACGCUGAGGAGCGAAAGCGUGGGGAGCGAACAGGAUUAGAUACCCUGGUAGUCCACGCCGUAAACGUUGGGCGCUAGGUGUGGGGGCCAUUCCACGGUCUCCGUGCCGCAGCUAACGCAUUAAGCGCCCCCGCCUGGGGAGUACGGCCGCAAGGCUAAAACUCAAAGGAAUUGACGGGGGCCCGCACAAGCGGCGGAGCAUGUUGCUUAAUUCGAUGCAACGCGAAGACCCUUACCUAGGCUUGACAUGCACGGAAAUCUCGCAGAGAUGCGGGGUCCGUAAGGGCCGUGCACAGGUGGUGCAUGGUUGUCGUCAGCUCGUGUCGUGAGAUGUUGGGUUAAGUCCCGCAACGAGCGCAACCCUCGUUCCAUGUUGCCAGCACGUGAUGGUGGGGACUCAUGGGAGACUGCCGGGGUCAACUCGGAGGAAGGUGGGGAUGACGUCAAAUCAUCAUGCCCCUUAUGUCUAGGGCUGCAAACAUGCUACAAUGGCCGGUACAAAGGGCUGCGAUACCGUGAGGUGGAGCGAAUCCCAAAAGGCCGGUCUCAGUUCGGAUUGGGGUCUGCAACUCGACCCCAUGAAGUUGGAGUCGCUAGUAAUCGCAGAUCAGCAACGCUGCGGUGAAUACGUUCCCGGGCCUUGUACACACCGCCCGUCACGUCACGAAAGUCGGUAACGCCCGAAGCCGGUGGCCCAACCCCUGGUGGG
rnacentral:rRNA from 1 species